AACGAACGCUGGCGGCAUGCCUAACACAUGCAAGUCGAACGAUCCCUUCGGGUAUAGUGGCGCACGGGUGCGUAACGCGUGGGAACCUGCCCUUAGGUUCGGAAUAACUCCCCGAAAUUUGUGCUAAUACCGGAUAAUGUCUUCGGACCAAAGAUUUAUCGCCUUUGGAUGGGCCCGCGUUGGAUUAGCUAGUUGGUGGGGUAAAAGCCUACCAAGGCGACGAUCCAUAGCUGGUCUGAGAGGAUGAUCAGCCACACUGGGACUGAGACACGGCCCAGACUCAGACGGGAAGGAGAAGUGGGGGAGAGGGGAAAAGGGGAGAAAGCCUGAGGCAGCGACGGCGCGUGGGGGAUGACGGCGAUCGGGUUGGAAACGCAAUGCGCUAGGGACGAAGAUGUUUGUGACGGUACCGAGAGAAGAAGCACCGGCUAACUACGUG
rnacentral:rRNA from 1 species